rnacentral:ncRNA from 1 species
AGCAGGCGCGCAAAUUACCCAUUCCCGACGCGGGGAGGUAGUGACGAAAAAUAACAAUGCAGGACUCGUUCGAGGCCCUGUAAUUGGAAUGAGUACACUUUAAAAGCUUUAACGAGUAUCCAUUGGAGGGCAAGUCUGUUGCCAGCAGCCGCGGUAAUUCCAGCUCCAAAAGUAUAUAUUUAAGUUGUUGCGGUUAAAAAGCUCGUAGUUGGAUUUUGGGCGCAGGCGGCCGGUCCGUCGCAAGGCGUGUACUGGACGUCCUGGCCUUCCCUCCGGUUCUCCGCCGGUGCUCUUGACUGAGUGUCGGCGGCGGCCGGAACGUUUACUUUGAAAAAAUUAGAGUGUUCAAAGCAGGCUCUCGAGCCUGGAUAAUGGUGCAUGGAAUAAUGGAAUAGGACCUCGGUUCUAUUUUGUUGGUUUUCGGAGCGCGAGGUAAUGAUUAAGAGGGACAGACGGGGGCAUUCGUACUGUGCCGUUAGAGGUGAAAUUCUUGGAUCGGCGCAAGACGAACGACUGCGAAAGCAUUUGCCAAGAAUGUUUUCUUUAAUCAAGAGCGAAAGUCAGAGGUUCGAAGACGAUCAGAUACCGUCCUAGUUCUGACUAUAAACGAUGCCAACUAGCGAUCGGGGGGCGUUACAUUGACGACCCCUCCGGCAGCUUACGGGAAACCAAAGUCUUUGGGUUCCGGGGGAAGUAUGGUUGCAAAGCUGAAACUUAAAGGAAUUGACGGAAGGGCACCACCAGGAGUGGAGCCUGCGGCUUAAUUUGACUCAACACGGGAAAUCUCACCCGGCCCGGACACAGUGAGGAUUGACAGAUUGAGAGCUCUUUCUUGAUUCUGUGGGUGGUGGUGCAUGGCCGUUCUUACUUGGUGGAGCGAUUUGUCUGGUUAAUUC